UUCAAUCUGUCACAUGCACCGUUAUAUUCUGACAUGUCAGACUUGGCUCUGGAUGAAAAGAUUAAGGACUUGGUGGCUGGGAACGACAAACUUGGACCGGAGGCUGUUCGAGCGCAAUUAAGGGCAUUGGGAAUCCGGGUGCAGAGACGCAGAGUGAGGGACAGCAUGAUUCGUGUUAACCCGAGGGCGGCUGCCCUCAGAGCCAUGUCGCAGAGGCUACAUAGAAGGUCAUACCGUGUUGCUGGACCAAACUCGUUAUGGCACCUUGAUGGAAACCACAAACUGAUAAGGUAGAUGUAUCUUUGUGAUAGACACAAUUAUCUAUAUCACUGGUGAGAAGUUGUACAUUGAAACAUCUCAAAUUGUUCAUCAACUUGUUCAUCAACAACUAACAGUUCAGUUUAGCAAGCAAUGGCCCAAUGUCAAUCAUGUGGAUAAUAAUUGUUUUAUUGUGUUUCUGCUACUUCUGUGAACGAUAGAAUAUCUGCAUCAUGAAAUUAACAAACAUGCUUAUAUUGAGGACAUACUGAGGCAAAAACGGUUGGAACAAAGUAUUUGUGCCUAAGUGUGAACAACAGUAGAGUCUGUCCUCUUGACUCAUUAACUUGAUUCAUUAACAUUGUUCCACAUUUUGGAUGUUAAUUUAAUAUCUGGUCUGCUGCUUUGUUAUAUACUGCAGGAACCUGAUGCAGCAUCUAAGUGGUAAAGGAGGAUGGUGAUGUUUGUAUAUUGCAUGUGUUCAACUUUUGUAUCAACCAGUGCUGUGCUUUCUGAUUUAGGUGGAGGAUAGUCAUACAUGGUGUCAUUGAUGGGUGCAGCCGCCUCGUUGUGUUUCUUUGUGCUUCCAGCAACAAUCGCAGCAGUACUGUAAUGGAUUGCUUCAUGAAUUCUGUCUCCAGAUAUGGCGUUCCCUCCAAAGUUAGGACGGACCAUGGAGGAGAAAACAACAUUGUCUGCUUGUUGAAUGUAAUACAUAUUGAAAAUAUUAUUUUAAAAAUAGCGCUACAUGCAUCCUUAAUGUCUUCUUGACCUACACAUUGAUUACAUUCUAUAGUGAGUGAUGCAUGCGGCUACUUUUUUUUUCUGUAAAUCAUUUUCAGAACGCAAUCACAUUAUGUUUGACAGCUUUAUUGCUUUCUCCAUGUUUUUGAAAUGUAUAAGCCUUUAAAUGACCUUUUACCGACUACUUCUACAAAUGAGGCUACACUUGUGGCAGCACCUAUUCCUGUGGCACCACUUCUUGUGGCCCCCCUCCACCUAUACCACUUCCUGUGGCCUCCCCUCCACCUAUACCACUUCCUGUGGCCUCCCCUCCACCAUUCCCUGAGGCUUAUCAUCCACCUUUACCACACUCUUCUGUUGAUGUUGGUAAUGAGUAAGUCAUCCCUGUAAAUAAUUAAAUGUCUUGUUAUUACAGAUGAAUUGUGGGAAGUAUCUGAGCUUUGUUAUUCUGAAUGUCUCUUUUAGUGUUGACCUCCAAACACUGCUGAAGUUAAUGAGAUGCCAACCAAAUUAWCGUGAUGAGGGACAACAUUUAUGAUUGUGCAAUGAGAGGCUUUAAGAGAGCCCGCUUUAAUCCGGAGGCAAYAAUAGACAUGGUUUUUAGGGAUGCUGACGAAAAAGGGGCAGCUGAUGAGGGUGGUCCCUCAAGAGAAUUUCUCCGGCUGCUAAUGAGUGCCAUCCAUUCCUCUGCAAUAUUUGAGGGACCUGAUUGACAAAAAGGCCUUUCUUGCAACUCUCAAGCAACAUGGGGGUGUAGAGUAACAUUUUUUCAGACACUAUACAGGCAAGUGUGUGGCCUACAACCUCCUGUGCCAGAACUGAAAGAAAUUGCGGAAUAUGACUUCAGAGAGAAGUUAAGUACUUUAUACUGUGAUUGGAUGUUAUGUUACUGUUAAUUUGCACUAAGUUUGAACAUUUUUGGGGUUGUAGUUCAUGACAACUUUUCCAUGUGGAUUUGGUUUAUUUUUGUUGGCAGUCAAUCUUUAAGGGUAGUGAUAAUCAGUUUAUUGUUUUGCUAAUUUGUCCCAAAACACAGUUCAAUAAACAAUCUAAGAUCCAGUUAGCACAAACUGUUGACGAGGCAGAGGAAGUGGUCACGUUGGGUCCAGUGCGAUACAUUCGUACAUUGGAGAGGGAUGCCCUGGUGGAGUCAGCCACAAAGUUCUACUUAGAAAGCAGGAUGCGGGAUGCUCUUGAGUAGUGUUUCCAUAUAUCUAAGGAAUCUCAAGUUUAGUUAAAUUCUUCAGGGCAAAUUCAUAGUUAUUUUUACUUUAUAGAUUCAAAGAGGGUCUGGAGUGUCUAGGUCUCCUGCCUUACAUGAAUAGACACUCAAGCCUCUUCGGAGAGGUUUUCAUCUACGCUGAGAAACCUCUUUUGGCCAAAGACAUAGCUUCUCUCUUCAAAGCAGAGCACUCCCCACCUGGUACCAAUCAAAGAGCAAUAGAGAGAAGAGUAAUAUGUUUCUGGAGGGACUGACUUCUGGAGGUGGAAGGUGGGAACACAUACCCUUUAACCAUGGAGGUUUUCAUUUUCACUUCGGGGGCUUCAGCAUUCCUAGGCUGGGAUUGCCAGUGGAGCCACAGCUACAGUUCUCUGCAACCGCACGGCAAGCGGUACCAGAGCGCCAAGUCUAGGUCCAAGAGGCUUCUAAACAGAUUCUACCCCCAAG